rnacentral:rRNA from 1 species
UACGGAGGGGGCUAGCGUUGUUCGGAAUUACUGGGCGUAAAGCGCGCGUAGGCGGACCUGCAAGUCGGGGGUGAAAGCCCGAGGCUCAACCUCGGAACUGCCUUCGAUACUGCGGGUCUCGAGUCCGGGAGAGGUGAGUGGAAUUCCGUAGUGUAGAGGUGAAAUUCGUAGAUAUUGGGAAGAACACGGUGGCGAAGGCGGCUCACUGGCUCAUAUCUGACGCUCAGGCGCGACAGCGUGGGGAUCAAACAGG